ACAGCAGUCGCCGCGGGAAUACGGAGGGGGCUAGCGUUGUUCGGAAUUACUGGGCGUAAAGCGCACGUAGGCGGCUUGGUAAGUUAGAGGUGAAAGCCUGGAGCUCAACUCCAGAAUUGCCUUUAAGACUGCCGAGCUAGCAGGUGAGAGAGGUAAGUGGAAUUCCGAGUGUAGAGGUGAAAUUCGUAGAUAUUCGGGAGGAACAUCAGUGGCGAAGGCGGCCAUCUGGGACAACACUGACGCUGAGGCACGAAAGCGUGGGGAGCAAACAGGAUUAGAUACCCGUGUAGUCCCUGUCUCUUAUA
rnacentral:rRNA from 1 species